rnacentral:rRNA from 1 species
AUUGGACGCUGGCGGCAUGCCUAACACAUGCAAGUCGAACGGUAACAGGUCUAGCUUGCUAGAUGCUGACGAGUGGCGGACGGGUGAGUAACGCGUAGGAAUUUGCCUUGUAGCGGGGGAUAACUUGGGGAAACUCAAGCUAAUACCGCAUAAGCCCGAGAGGGGAAAGCUGGGGAGCAGAAAUGCCCUGGCACUAUGAGAUGAGCCUGCGUUGGAUUAGCUUGUUGGUGGGGUAAAGGCCUACCAAGGCGACGAUCCAUAGCUGGUCUGAGAGGAGGACCAGUCACACUGGAACUGAGACACGGCCCAGAAUUCGACGGGAGGCAGCAGUGGGGAAUAUUGGACGAUGGGGGAAACCCUGAUCCAGCAAUGCCGCGUGUGUGAAAAAGGCCUGCGGGUUGUAAAGCACUUUAGUUGGGGAGGAAGGCAUAGCUUUUAAUAGAGGUUAUGUUUGACGUUGCCCAAAGAAUAAGCACCGGCUAACUCUGUGCCAGCAGCCGCCGUAA